rnacentral:rRNA from 1 species
GACGAACGCUGGCGGCGUGCUUAACACAUGCAAGUCGAACGGAAAGGCCCUGCUUUUGUGGGGUGCUCGAGUGGCGAACGGGUGAGUAACACGUGAGUAACCUGCCCUUGACUUUGGGAUAACUUCAGGAAACUGGGGCUAAUACCGGAUAGGAGCUCCUGCUGCAUGGUGGGGGUUGGAAAGUUUCGGCGGUUGGGGAUGGACUCGCGGCUUAUCAGCUUGUUGGUGGGUUAGUGGCUUACCAAGGCUUUGACGGGUAGCCGGCCUGAGAGGGUGACCGGCCGCAUUGGGACUGAGAUACGGCCCAGACUCCUACGGGAGGCAGCAGUGGGGAAUAUUGCAAAAUGGGCGGAAGCCUGAUGCAGCAACGCCGCGUGCGGGAUGACGGCCUUCGGGUUGUAAACCGCUUUCGCCUGUGACGAAGCGUGAGUGACGGUAAUGGGUAAAGAAGCACCGGCUAACUACGUG